rnacentral:rRNA from 1 species
UACGUAGGGUGCAAGCGUUAAUCGGAAUUACUGGGCGUAAAGCGUGCGCAGGCGGUUGUGCAAGACAGAGGUGAAAUCCCCGGGCUCAACCUGGGAAUUGCAUUUGUGACUGCACGGCUAGAGUGUGUCAGAGGGGGGUAGAAUUCCACGUGUGAGCAGUGAAAUGCGUAGAGAUGUGGAGGAAUACCGAUGGCGAAGGCAGCCCCCUGGGAUAACACUGACGCCUCAUGCACGAAAGCGUGGGGAGCGAACAGG